rnacentral:lncRNA from 1 species
AUGUCCGUUAUCUCUGCCAGGAAGACAAGCCAAGUUAUCCUUCAGACAGGAAAUGGGAUGUUGGUGGUGGCCCCAAGAAGUGCACAGACUCUGAACUGGAAGAUGAGAGACCACUGUGGAAGGGAUCCAGAGACAAAUGAACAGAACUGGUGUCAGUAUUCUGUGCUCCUGAGACACCUGAGCUCAUCUCCAAGGACUUUCUACCACUUCAUUUUGGAAACAACCUAAAUGUCCAUUGACAGAGGAGUGGAUCCAGAAGAUGUGGUACAUAUACACAAUGGAAUAUUACGCAGCCAUCAAAAAGAACGAAAUACCAGCAUUUUUAGCAACAUGGAUGGACCUAGAAACUGUCAUCGCUAAGUGAAGCCAGCCAUACAAUGAGACACCAACAUCAAAUGCUUUCACUGACAUGUAGAAUUUGAAAAAAGGACAGACGGAUCUUCUUUGCAGAACAGAUGCUGACUCACAGACAUUGAAAAACUUAUGGUCUCUGGAGGAGACAGAUUGGGGGGUGGGGGAAUGUGCUUGGGCUGUGGGAUGGAAAUACUGUGAAAUCAGAUUGUUAUGAUCAUUAUACAACUACAGAUGUGAUAAGCUCAUUUGAGUAAUAAAAAAAAAAAGAAUAUUACA